CUAUAUGAGCAUAGAGCUUAAUUAUCAUUAAUCAAGCGCAUCGAUCGUGCAAUCGGAACUAUGGCGGACACGUGGGAUUACAGGAAGGGCACACGGCCCUACACUCACCCAACGUGUCAUAACACAACGGUUCCGGUGAUGUUUCGGCUCACACUAAACCUUGGCGCAGAACACCAGCGCCACCUUGCUCCCAUCUACUCCUCCAAAGCGCGUAAUGCUAUAUGCGUGGCUCCUUGCAGUUCCAGCAUUUGGAAGCUCGAGAGCACGACCUGCUUCAUUAUCGUGUUCAUCAGCACGAAGUAUACAUGCAUAUGCAUAUCUCCAACCAAUUCAAUUGUUCAAGAUAAUCGGUACACUUAUAUUAUGCAGGGAUGAAACGAGGAACAAGAGCAUGAUGACCAUAUGUUCCACGUAUUCAUACCCUUGUUCCUCGUUUCAUCCCCUGCACAAUGUAACCUGCUUCAUUAUCGUGUUCAUCAGCACGAAGUAUACAUGCAUAUGCAUAUCUCCAACCAAUUCAAUUGUUCAAGAUAAUCGGU
rnacentral:lncRNA from 1 species